rnacentral:rRNA from 1 species
GACGAACGCUGGCGGCGUGCUUAACACAUGCAAGUCGAGCGGUAAGGCCCUUUCGGGGGUACGACGAGCGGCGAACGGGUGAGUAACACGUGGGUGACCUGCCCUCAGCUCUGGGAUAAGCCUGGGAAACCGGGUCUAAUACUGGAUAUGACUCCAUGACGCAUGUUGUGGGGUGGAAAGCCUUGUGCGGCUGAGGAUGGGCCCGCGGCCUAUCAGCUUGUUGGGUGGGGUGAGGCCUACCAAGGCGACGACGGGUAGCCGGCCUGAGAGGGCGACCGGCCACACUGGGACUGAGACACGGCCCAGACUCCUACGGGAGGCAGCAGGUGGGGAAUCUUGCGCAAUGGGCGAAAGCCUGACGCAGCGACGCCGCGUGAGGGAUGACGGCCUGG